UUUUUGAAUAUUUGGUAGAAUUCACCAGUGAAGCCAUCUGGUCCUUGACUUUUAUUUGUUGGGAGUUUUUGAUGACUGAUUCAAUCUCCUUACUAGUAACUGGUCCAUUCAGAUUUUUUACAUUGUCUCCCUUAAUCCAUGGUUUUGCUGUCUACAGUUUUAGUUCCUGCAGUCAACCACAUUCCAGAAGCAGAUGAUCCUCUCUCUGAUGUCAAAAGGACUUAAACUCAUCUCUCCUGCCUUCAUCACAAGCUUUCUGAGAUCAGAUGAGGUAGUGCGUGGGAAUGUGCUGCCCUGGUAAAGUCCCUUCACUUGUUAGGACUGAAUAAGUGACUGGAACUUCAUACAGAAAUUCCCCUUUUGGUAAUUAUCAAGUAAGUGAGAGCCGGGGGUGGGAGGCCAUUAUUUCUGAGGUGUUUCUGAUAACACAAUAGUUGGCCAAGUGAAGUUAAGCCCAGAAUACAUCCACAAGGAUGGUCUGUUUUAAAGUUUUAAAAGAAAAUGGACUCAAAUGUGUUUAUUACUAAUUUUCUUUCACGUGUUUGCCUGGUACCAGCUACUACAAACAAAGUAACCUCCGCUUACAUAUCUUACAUAAAGAAAGGAAGCUUCAUGUUUUCAUGAAAAUGAACCAAACGUUUUUCAUCGAACCUCCUUCAGGACUCUCCUACGAGAAAGUCCCCUCUUUGCAUGGCGCAAGACAUGGUGCUAAAUCCUCUCGUUUUUGCACUGUUUGAACCUGUAUCUUCAUUUCUUUUGAAGCCCAGACUCGAUGGGUGGAGGCAAAAGAAAGGUGGGCUCCAUCCACGGCAGCGACAUCAGAUACAGCCGGCUGGCCGGCCUUGCCAGCCUCGCUCAGCCUGCUGUAGGCAGUGUUCCACAGCAGGGGAGGUGGCUGGCCAGCUCCUGGCGUGACAUCAUCAGCUGUGCAGCUGUGGGCCUGGCACAUCAUGGCGUGAGCUUGGUGGUAGACCGCCAGCCAUUGAAUUAGAACAGCUGCUGAUUGGGAUGGAGAGCCCAGCAGAUGGGUCAGUUAAGCCUGCUGCUUGUGGUCAUAGCGUCAUUUUUAUCACUGUCUUGUUGAUGCAGAUUUAAGUACUCAAGUGAUUCCUUCCUUCCUUCCUUCCUUCCUUCCUUCCUUCCUUCCUUCCUGACCCCUGGCCUUGAAGAUGACAACCACAUUUUGUAAGACCUCAACACUUUUCUUUUUACAGUCACUUUCCCCAGGCCCGUGCUUUCUUUCCACUCUUCUCCAGAAAGGGAGGGAACCAUUGACGUCAUCAGUUCUGCGACUGAUUAUGCCAUGAUUAGAAUCCAGGAAACUUAGGAAGCUGAUUUUUCUUGCUGUCCUUCUUCUAUGAUGCCAGAACUUGGAGUCUUCGGGAUCUUAGAGGGAACUUCAAAGCUGAUGUAACUAAUAACACUGUGAGUUUGGCUGGUGAGGGAAAUGGAUACCAGACAAGUCAACAUGAGGAUGAUGGAGUAUGGGGCCUCCUGACGCGUGGUGCCAGGGUCACCAGGAUGUCCAUUCCUGGCCACCAUAUAUCAAGGACUCCUGAAGUUUGACCAGCAGAGGAUCGUUCUUUUAACCUAAACCUGUUCUUUUAUCAAAGAGCAAGGGCACCUGGUGGGGGGUGACCAGUUCAUCUGCUUUCAGGCAUGUCUACCUAAAUGUGCAUGAGUUUAUCCGAUCACUUCCUGAGAUUAGAUUUUGUUGGAAGGAUGAAAGAGGGAAAACGAUAGCAUGAGACAUCUGAGUGGUGUGAGGAAUGAGGAGAAGGGACAUCGAUAAGAGAGGGUAAAGAGAAGGAGGCUAAGUUCAUAUGCAUUGCUAGGCUUGGCACUGUGAAUGAACAGAAUGAUGGAAAAUCAGGACAUUUUGAUGGAAAAUGAUCAUCAGAAUACUGCUCUCCUGGAGAGAGAUAGGAAGCCAUCCAGCCAACACAGCAGUGUAUUGAUCGGGUUCCAGGGAUCCUUUCUUAUACAAUUUCCUUCUGAGUGUAAGACACAGUCUGAUACUUUUCAAUAUAUUUUCCUUUUCCCUACUAUCCCUGCACUGCCCAACCAAGCAUUCCCUAGAUCAUUGCUGGACACUUAGCCUCCUUCCUCAGCUCUCCUGAUGCCACAUGAAAGUCAAGCAAGACUUUUCCAGAAAGUCAUGCCAUGCAGGUUAAUUAGUGGAAAAUACAAUGUUGCAGCUCUUUUUAAAAUAGCAGGUACAAACUGUUCUAGAGCCCUUAGGGUGUAAAUAUCAUGUCUCCAUUAUUUCCUCAAAUUAAAUUAAAACUAGCCUGUGGAAAAAAAAGAUCAACUUAAAAUUGCAUUAUUUCAGUCUUGGUUAAAACUAGAAGACAUAGAAAUAAAGUUGUAAGAAUAAGAAA